UUAUGCUUUAACUCUCUUAUAUUUGUAGAGUGACAACGUAAAAGCCGAGUGCCUCACCUAACCAUGCUUUAGUUAUAACACUGCUGUCUUUGACGCCAGAGAUUAAAAGAACAAAAUGCACAGAGACAUCUUACACAAGCUACAUUCUAUCUGAAGAGAGCAAAAUCUGACACAGGAGACUGCCAAAGCUGUUAGUGGUGUUGUUUAAAGCAAAAGAGGAGCAUCUUACCAAGUGAUUCUUGCUGGAUUGGCACCCGUCUUCACCACCUUUGACAAGAAAAGGAUACUCCUGCUCAUCACUGCCUCGGAUUGUUAUACGUUUUGGUUUCCUCAAGGAUUCCAUUACACUUAUCUUGGAAAAAGAGAAGAAAAAGCAAAAUAUUUGUGAAAGAAGACUUGGCCUUAUAGAAUCAUCACUUGAAAUAACAGAAUCAUGACUCCAAUCAUCCAAUCUAUUAAGCCAUGUCCUGAAGUGCCACGUCUACAAGUUUUUUUGAACACCUCCAGGGAUGGGGACUUCACCACUUCCUUGGACUGUUCCAGUACUCCACCGCUCUUUCAGUAAAGAAAUUUUCCCCAAUAUCCAAUCUAAACCUCCCCUCAUGCAACUUAAGGCCAUUUCCUCUUGUCCUAAAAUCAAGCAUAUCUGGCAUUUCUAGAUGGCAUAAUCAAGCUGUUCAGUUACCACUAGAAAAACAAACACCUAUUUCCUUGACGUGCUGCAAGAUGCAACAACCUCGCUAUUGUCAAAUGCUUCAGACGGAAUACGGACUCAUAUUUAACCACACAGGAUUUUGACUCAAACUUAUAAACAUACCCGUUCAUCAAAUCCAGAGAUUUUUGUGUGGUACUCUGGCAGAGGUUUCCCUUUUCCAUCAUACUGACCUAAACAGUAGAGAAAAAAAAAUAUAAUAAGAAUACAGUUAAAUAAACUGAUCUUAGUAUUUUUUAAAGUGUGUUUAAGAACACAACAAACUUCCUAAUAUUUUUUGAAACUGGUAUAAUGAUAACUAUGAAGAAAACAUUUGAAAAUGCAUAAAAAUCCAUGGUGCAUUAUAUGAUUUUAUCUGUGAGCUGCUAAUAGUCUUUCCUUCUUAAUCUGUUAGAAUUCCAGCUCUCAAUGGUUUAAGACGACACAUCCUUUUUGAACUAGAUUUAAACAUAUAUAAGAUUUAUAUAUCUGAUUUCCUGGAGUCAGGCCUUUACAAAAAUACUAACUUCUUAGGUAAUUGAGAUAAUUUUAGAUAAAAUUUUAAAAAUUAGGACUACAGCUUCAGAACAGAUUUAAGAGAUGAUGAAUGAACAGAGUUAUUUAAG